rnacentral:rRNA from 1 species
AUGCAAGUCGAACGGCAGCACAGCCGGAGCAAUCCGGUGGGUGGCGAGUGGCGGACGGGUGAGGAAUACAUCGGAAUCUACCUUGUCGUGGGGGAUAACGUAGGGAAACUUACGCUAAUACCGCAUACGACCUACGGGUGAAAGCGGAGGACCGCAAGGCUUCGCGCGAUUGGAUGAGCCGAUGUCGGAUUAGCUAGUUGGCGGGGUAAAGGCCCACCAAGGCGACGAUCCGUAGCUGGUCUGAGAGGAUGAUCAGCCACACUGGAACUGAGACACGGUCCAGACUCCUACGGGAGGCAGCAGUGGGGAAUAUUGGACAAUGGGCGCAAGCCUGAUCCAGCCAUGCCGCGUGGGUGAAGAAGGCCUUCGGGUUGUAAAGCCCUUUUGUUGGGAAAGAAAAGCAGUCGGUUAAUACCCGAUUGUUCUGACGGUACCCAAAGAAUAAGCACCGGCUAACUUCGUGCCAGCAGCCGCGGUAAUACGAAGGGUGCAAGCGUUACUCGGAAUUACUGGGCGUAAAGCGUGCGUAGGUGGUUCGUUUAGUCCGAUGUGAAAGCCCCUGGGCUCAACCUGGGAAUUGCAUYGGAUACUGGCGGCUUAGAGUGCGGUAGAAGGAUGGCGGAAUUCCCGGUGUA